AUUUCACCAGAAUAUUGAUGUCUGAAUUCUUAAAUUUUCUUUUUUCCAGCUCCAUGAGGCCAUCAAUGCUGGUGGUCUUCUUCCAAGGCAGAGCCCAGAUUUUCAGUUUCUUGCCUUUCCCAGAAUCAGCAGACACAUCCAGAAACACCCUGCCAUGAGAUCAACUCAGCAGACCAAGGGAAGGCUGGAGAUCGUGGUGGCCAAGGGAUGUUCAGACACACCUACCUACAGCACAAUCAGCCCCUUUAUUGUACGGAAGAAGAGGCAGCAAACCAGCCAGAAGAAAGCCACUUUGUUUAACAUUCCAAAGGCGUUCCCAGUGUCUCCCAGAGUCCUCAUUAAUUACCUGGAGAAUUACCAAUGCGUUCUGGGAUCCCAUGAGAGACUCCUUCCACUGCAAUUCGCCAACCCUUGUGACACUGGGAUGAUGAAAUAGGCGCACUUGAUGAGGAGAGAAGAGGAAACGGAGUCCGGGCACAGAGUCAGAAGGCCUUGGCUUGGGAGAUUUCUGAAUCACGGACACGGCCUGCCCUCUCACAAGUAGAGGCAAAAGAUGUCAGGGUUGUUGGCAGAUGCGGGCACGGAGCUUUGGGGUGGCAAUAAUAACGAUUUUCAGGGCACGGGCAGUUAGGCGAGGGAGGGCUGUUAGGUGAGUGGAGGAGUGAGGGUCCUGGACCAGGCAGGGCCGAGCACGGGCCAGGGAAGGAGGACUGUGAGUACCGGCUGUUUCUUUAGAUUUGGAACCAGAAAGUGCUGGCAUUAAAGCUAGAACAACAGAAUCACAGGAAAGGAUCUUAGAGGUUACAUAAUGCUGGCAUUUUAAAACCAGGUUCCCUGGCGUUCUAAAGAUUCUAUGUGAAGGCGUUUCGGGGACUGCUGUUCAGUGUUUGGUAAAAGGGGAUGGGGGGCUGGUCCUUCAUCCCCAUUUUAACAUCAGUUUGUAUCUAUUUUAGACAUUGGGAUUCUGAAUAUGAUUUAUUUCUGGAAAGGCUUUUGUACUUAAAAAUUACUGUUCCUUUCCAACCUCUUCAUUUGACAGCUCAGAAAAGGAAGCUGACUUUGUAGAGACGUACAGCCAGCAUGUGACAUCACACUGUGAUGUUCACCCCCCUGGGUGUGGUGGCAUCAUGGUACUAUAGAUCAAACAGGCCCGGAAACGCCAGGCUACAUUCUUUUCCCUCAGAGUGGCCCAUUUAUUUUGCUCCUAUUCUCCAGUUCUAACCCCACCAAAACCCAAACCAGUGCUCAGAUUUAUAAUAUUCCAUGUACACCAUGGUCUGGAAAGAGGACUGGCCCAAAAGUGUGGUGAACAAGGUUGCCUGUGUGGUGUGACGUGUGUAGGCCUCAGCCAACCCCCAAUAACUUCCCAUCUAACUAGAAUUCCCACCACCGGUUAGGCCAGCAGUUUUCAAGUAAACUCAGGUGCCAGUGUGCCUGUGGAACACCACGAAUUGUUGACUGACUGAAUUCCAUCCUACAAAUGAGCAGCGACUUUACCAGCAGGAAAGCUAGCUGUGUUAGAAGCACACAGUACAACAUCGUGGUCACACACGCUGCGUGAGUCAUUAAGACUGGUCCCACAUGUUCUGGUUCUCCGUCUAGGCACACAGUGGGCUUGUACUUCUCCAUUGCCUUUCACAGCCAUGGCCAUAUGACAUGUUUUGGCCGAAUAAAUGUGCGUGGAAGCUUUUGAAGUCAGUGGGUGAUUCUCGUCAUUCUCUUCCCCGUGGUGCAGUCUCUGCCGAAGUCCACUUUGAGACGGAGCCUCUGUUUGCCAGAGUCCUGGGGUUGCUACGAUGAGGAGAGCUCUCCAACCUACAUCAAACAUGGUGUGAACAAGAAAUACAUCUUUGUUUGUUAAACCAUUAGGAUUUUGGAGUUUUGUUACCAUAGCAAAACCUAGCUUAUCCUAACUGAUAUAGCCACUUAUCAAAAAUAAACCAAUUAACUGUGAAAUGGAA
rnacentral:lncRNA from 1 species